rnacentral:lncRNA from 1 species
GAAGCAAGCCAGUAAGGAACACCCCUCCAUGGCUUCUGCAUCAGCUCCUGCUUUCUGACCUGCGUGAGUUCCAGUCCUGACUUCUUUGGUGAUGAACAGCAGUAUGGAAGUGUAAGCUGAAUAAACCCUUUCCUCCCCAACUUGUUUCUUGGUCAUGAUGUUUUGUCCAGGAAUAGAAACUCUGACUAAGACAAAUUGGUACCAGCAUAGUGGGGUAUUCCUGUGACAGCCUGACCAUGUUUUGGGGAGGACUGUGGAAGGACAUUGGAACUUUGGACCAGAAGAUCCAUUCGGUGUUAAGAGCUCUGUCGAAUGUUGUAUAGGAGCUUGGAAGAUAAUGUUGAGAACAGUGCAGAAGAUGAAGGCCUGGCUUAUGAAAUUUCAGAGGGAAGAUUAAAGACUUUUUUCAGGGCCAUUGCUGUUUUUGAUUGUGAAGAUUCUGUAGUUCUGGUUAGCUGGGGCUGAAGAAUCAGCUGUGAUUAACAAGAUACCAGAACUACUAAAGCAAAACCUUUGGAUUAUUGGGACUAUUGAUGCUGGUUAGCUGGAGCUAAGAAAUUAGCGGUGAUUAAGAAGAGACCAGCAUCGUUGAGGUGACAUCUUCUGGGAAGUGUUUUCUGAAAGCACAAAGAGGCUGUGUUCCAGAGAUAGCCAAGGUUAUACUCCUGCUGCAGCGGGACUUGGUAAUGUGUAAGGGUUACCCAGGUGGCACUGGUUUUGAAGGCAUGAAGGGGUCACGCAGAGCAGCUGAGGCUUGGCACUGUGAGAGGCCAUGGAAGGCCAUUGGUGAAGGUGCAGCCUCAGUUGCAAUUGAUGGCCCAGGAAUGAAGGGGUCGUGCAGUGUUUUGGAGAUGCCAGUACCAUGAGAUGACCACCAAGAGCAGCAGCAGCAGUGGAGUACAGGCAUCUGAAGCCUAGAAGACAAGGUGUGUGCUACAAAUGGCAUGGCUGAAGAAGUGACCCAAGCCCUUGGAGGAGCCCAGAAGAUCGUGAGUUGGAUCCCAGACAUUAGACAGUUGGAGUUUAAUUUUUGCUUUUGAUUGUGAGUAUGCCCUAAUAUUUUUCCCUCUUGAAGGAAGAAAAUAUUUUAGUGGAUCCCACAGUUAAGAGACUUUUAAUUGUAAAAGACUUUGGAUUUUAAAAGAUAUCGGAUAUUUUAAAAGUAUUGAAUUUUUAAUGUAUAAAGACUAUGGGACUUUUAAAGUUAUUUAAGAUCUUGGGAAUGAAUGAAAACUAAGGGUUGAGGCUUACUAGUGAUGUGUUUGUGUGUCAAGUUGACAAGGGGUCAAUUGUACUGGCUGGUUUUAUGUGUCAACUUGACACAGGCUGGGGUUAUCACAGAGAAAGGAGCUUCAGUUGGGGAAGUGCCUUCUGGAGACCCAGCUCUGGGGUAUUUUCUCAAUUAGUGAUCAAGGGAGAAAGGCCCCUUGUGGGUGGGACUAUCUCUGGGUGGCAGUCUUGGAUUCUAUAAGAGAGCAGGCUGAGCAAGCCAGGAGAAGCAAGCCAGUAAAGAACAUCCCUCUAUGGCCUCUGCAUCAGCUCCUGCUUUCUGACCUGCGUGAGUUCCAGUCCUGACUUCCUUGGUGAUAAACAGCAGUAUGGAAGUGUAAGCUGAAUAAGCCCUUUCCUCCCCAACUUGUUUCUUGGUCAUGAUGGAUGUUCUGUCCAGGAAUAGAAACCCUGACUAAGACACCUUCUUACUCUGUUUUUGUUCCCAUGUUAAAGAUACAGUAUAGCUUAUGGUCCUCCAGCGUCAAUAGCAAUCUAUAGUUAAGAUAGAAAAAGAGUAUGAUUUCUAUUCUCCACAUAGAGAUAUAGACUUCUGAAAUUCUAAGAUUAGAAUUACUUAGUGGGAGAAGAAGAGGGGAAUGAAAGAAAGAUGAAAUUUCAAGACCUGUAAGUCAUAUAAAGUACUCAGAAAUUGCUGGUUGUUUGUGAGCCUAGAGGCUGCCUGGGGCUGAGAAAAAAAGAAAGACAAACCUGGGUAUGCCCCGUAGUUAAAACAUUCCUGGGAACAGCUUGACCAUAAGAUAAAGAGGAAUGUGAGGACAUAACUGGGAUAUCUGAACUGAGUCAACAACUCACAGAACUCUGACACCCUGCACGUACAUGUAAUUUUUCUGCUGAUGUUUGAAUAAGCCAAUAGUGUGUCGCUAUGCUGAAUUCCACACCCAUAAGCCACUUACCCCAUUAAAGCCCCUAGCUUCAGAGCCUUGUGGCCGACAUCCGUUAUCUCCUGUGUGGGAUGCAUGUCGGUCUGGAGCUCUGUCAUUAAACUGCCUCAUGUGAUUACAGC